rnacentral:rRNA from 1 species
UGGGGAAUUUUGGACAAUGGGGGAAACCCUGAUCCAGCCAUCCCGCGUGUGCGAUGAAGGCCUUCGGGUUGUAAAGCACUUUUGGCAGGAAAGAAACGUCGCGGGUUAAUACCCCGCGAAACUGACGGUACCUGCAGAAUAAGCACCGGCUAACUACGUGCCAGCAGCCGCGGUAAUACGUAGGGUGCAAGCGUUAAUCGGAAUUACUGGGCGUAAAGCGUGCGCAGGCGGUUCGGAAAGAAAGAUGUGAAACCCCAGAGCUUAACUUUGGAACUGCAUUUUUAACUACCGGGCUAGAGUGUGUCAGAGGGAGGUGGAAUUCCGCGUGUAGCAGUGAAAUGCGUAGAUAUGCGGAGGAACACCGAUGGCGAAGGCAGCCUCCUGGGAUAACACUGACGCUCAUGCACGAAAGCGUGGGGAGCAAACAGGAUUAGAUACCCUGGUAGUCCACGCCCUAAACGAUGUCAACUAGCUGUUGGGGCCUUCGGGCCUUGGUAGCGCAGCUAACGCGUGAAGUUGACCGCCUGGGGAGUACGGUCGCAAGAUUAAAACUCAAAUGAAUU